UACGUAGGGGGCAAGCGUUGUCCGGAAUCAUUGGGCGUAAAGAGCGUGUAGGCGGCUUGGCAAGCGUGUGGUGAAAGCCCGGGGCUCAACCCCGGGUCUGCCGUGCGAACUGCUAUGGCUUGAGCACUGUAGAGGCAGGUAGAAUCCGGGUGUAGCGGUGGAAUGCGUAGAGAUCCGGAAGAAUACCGGUGGCGAAGGCGGCCUGCUGGGCAGUGGCUGACACUGGAGGCGCGACGAGCGUGGGG
rnacentral:rRNA from 1 species